AGCUCCAAUAGCGUAUAUUAAAGUUGUUGCGGUUAAAAAGCUCGUAGUUGGGUUUCUGCUGAGGGUGACCGGUCCGCCUUCUGGGUGAGUAUCUGGCUUGGCCUUGGCAUUUUCCUGGCAAGCGUAGCUGCACUUGACUGUGUGGUGCGGUUUCCAGGACUUCUACUUUGAGGAACUUAGAGUGCUUCAAGCAGGCAUGAGCCAUGAAUACAGUAGCAUGGAAUAGUAAGAUAGGACUGCGGAUCCAUUUUGUUGGUUUCUGGAGCUGCAGUAAUGAUUAAUAGGGAUGGUUGGGGGCACUCGUAUUUAACUGUCAGAGGUGAAAUUCUUGGAUUUGUUAAAGACGGACAACUGCGAAAGCAUUUGCCAAGGAUGUUUUCAUUGAUCAAGAACGAAAGUA
rnacentral:rRNA from 1 species